CCUCAGGACUUCGGCUGGACUCAUCCUCAGUAGUGGGGUUCCCAUCAGACUCGCUGGAGGGAGAAAGGGUGGUUAGCUGUGAUCCCUGAGGGCGGGAUUCUCUCAGGAGCAGGAGCUGACCCCUGCUUCCCGACCUGCCCCAGCCCCAGCUUUUGUGGACUAUUUCAGGGGUCAUAGAUCAUCCCAAGGCCACCCAAGGACCCUGCGUUGGUAGCCACCACCGCGGGAAAGCUAACCCUGGAGCACUGAACAGCCUGCUUUCCGGGCGUUUGCCUCUGGGCAGGGCCGUGCACCGGGGCUUCCCCCAAGUCCCCUGGGUAGGCAGACGCGUGGCCUGGACAGUGAGGAGGCAGUUGCCUGCUCAGUUCCCAGCGUCCCUCCCAAGAGGCGUCAGAGGAGAGCGAGGCCGGAGAUCCCGAAACACAGGGGGAUCUGAUUUGGAACUUUGAGUGCAGCAGCGGGAAGAAGAGGUCUCCGGGGCCUCCGUUUGAGGUCCCCGGAGGAGAGGAACGAGGACGUGGGCCUGAUCCAUCCACGCUUAGUCCCUACGCAUCUCGGAGGCCUAAGGAUGUGAGCGGGAAGUUCCAAGAAGCCCGGCGCCAAGACUCCAGCAGUGGGCACGGGGAGUUGGAGGCUGGUGUCCUCGGGAAAGGGGGACUUGCGCCUCCCGGAUCCCCUCACCUCUUGCAGGGCGCGCCGCCGCCGGUCCCGGUCCGGUCGCGCUGUCGCCGGUUUUUGAACCAGUUGCUGACCUGCGUGAGCGAGAGACCGGUGAGCGUGGCAAGGCGACGCUUCUCGUCCGGCGUUGGGUAGCGGUUGCCGCGGUAGCAGGCCUUGAGCGCGGCGCGGGAGCGCUCCUUGAAGCAGUAGACGGUCUCCUCGCCGUCCCAGAUGGUCUUCGGCAGCGGGAACUUCUUGCGAAGCCGGUAUUUGUCCACUGCGCCCAGCGCGCGGCCGCGGGCUCGCUCGGCCUCCUGGUAGCGCGCGCGCAGGUAAAGGUCCUGCAGGAAGGCGUGGUGGGCGGCAGGGAAGGGGCGGCUCUCCAGUAACCGGUAGAGUUCGGCGUACUCGCCCCGCUGGAAGGCCACCAAGGCCCGUGCGCGCAACACCGGGUCGCUGCCACGUAGGCGCUCGGCCGGGGGCAGUGCGCCUAGGAAGCGGCUCAAGCGACCAGCGUGGCCCGCCUGUAGCAGCGCCUCACAAACGCACGCCACCUGCUCCGGCGAGAAGCGGAGGCCCGUGGACGGUUCGGCGGCGGCCUCCGGGGGUGACCCAGGGACUCCCGGGGACCCCGAGUCCUCCGCUCCCGCAGCCGCUUCGCCCGCCCCGGCCCCGGCCGCCGCCGCCGCCUCACCCUCGGCUGCCUGCAAAGUCUGCAGGAGCUGGCGCGCUUCUUCCUCCUCCUCUUCGGUUGCCGCCGCCACCGCCUCCCCACCGGCCGCCGGCCCCGCGCUCGGCUCGGCAGGCAAGGUAGCCAUGUUUUGCAACUUUGGGAAGUUCCUCCCUCCUUCUCCUCCCUCGGGUUUCCACCAGCCCCCUCCCCCGCCCGUCCCCUCUUUCUGCCCCCGCCUAGCGCUUCCCGAUCUUCUCGCCACACCCCCCCUGCCCCCCGAAUGCCAGACCCCAGAUCUACACUUGGGUCUCUGUCUCUGUGUGUCCGUCCCCCUCUCCGUCUGUCCGUGAUUCUCCCUUUGUUUUCCCUCCGCCUCUGGCCGCGCUUUUUGGUCCCCCCCCCCGCCCCCAGAGUGUGCCUCUGGCUCAGGGCCUCAAUUUCCCCAUCGGGACAACAGAGAAGGUAACGGUCCGUCCAGGAGAGCUAAGGGCGCGAAGCCACCUCCGUCCGGAGACUGAGCUUCUGCACGCCUCCGUCUCCAGGGUCCUCCGAAGGCCCCCCCAUUCCCAUCUCGGCGCGCGCUCCGCCCCUCGGAAUUCCCGGCUCCGCAGGGGGGCGGGUCUGGCAAGGAGGAGGGGCGGGCGAAACAAGGAGAAAGUUUGCAGCAACUUUUCUUAAGCGUAGGUCCCGGGAGCGGAUGCGCGUGGCCUGCGCAGGCGCAGUGGAAGAAGGACGGCGGCGCGCUAGCCUGCCCAGCCCCCUUCUUCUCAACCCUUGGGGUGGCACAGCUGAGCCACAGCUGGGGGGGCGGUGCCUCAUUGUGGACCGCUCGCCAUGUCCUAUUGGCUGGAUGCCGAGGUCCCGCCCCUCAUGUUUUUUCUUCCCCUUCCCCGAUUCGUCCUCUUUGCGUCCCGCUAGCUCCCCGCCAAGCUAUUGGCCUGCCCUACUGGCCUCCUGAUUGGCCCACCGGGCAACCUCCUCCGCAGAACGCGUACACAGCUACACCGCGGAGUCCAGAGCUUCAGGCUGACGAAAGGGUCUUUUAUUUGCGAGGGUCGGGGGUGGGGGUCCUAGGUGGGGCCAAACAAUAAAUACCGAGGAAUGUCGAGUCUCAGUGCAUCCAAAACGUGGAUUAGGGUGAUGGGGUCCUGGAGGCUGUCAGCAAGUCGGAGGAUAAAGGCAAUAAAUAUCCAAACCACCAAGACGGGCGGAGCCAGCUGUGGCUCCUAGAGCAGCGCACGUAAGGGGGGAGGUGGGCUGGCAAAAGCAAAAGGUUCCCGAGGGAGCAGGCAGAGGUGACGCCGAACGUUCGCUGCGGUAGAACGUUCCGGGGAGAAUAGGAGUUCAUGCACAGGGAGGAUUUGUGGUUUGCGAACAGAUGGCAGGUGCGUGGAGGGUGAAAAUCGGAUGGCUGAGCUCCGGUCGGCUGCCUUUUCGGACCGCGAUUUGCCCAUCCAGGUCGAGGAUGGCUGAGCUCCGGUCGGCUGCCUUCUCUGGACAGCGAUCUGUCCAUCCACGUCGGGGCCUCAACCCGCCCAGAAGAAAGCAGUGAUCGGCAACUCCCCCCAGCAGCAGCCACAGCAGCCUCAGCAGCAACAACAUUCCUGGCUGCAAGUCCCCCGCUAACCCCAUUCGCCGGCCAAGGAUCAGCUCCUCCCUUCCCGGCCGCCAGGGGGCGGGCCCGGAUCACAGGAUUGGAGCUGGGCGAAGACCCGCGCUCGGAGCGGUAUGAACUGGGAGGCGGUGGGAGCAGCUUCUAGGCCGAGCCCGGGUCACCCAACCUUUUAACCGAGCCUGAGGUCUAGGGUUCAGGGGACGAAGGUGGCUCCCGGGCGAUGACAGAUUGGGACGAGAUGGCCUGCGCUGGCCACCAACCCAAUGCAGCCCAAGGAGGCGGCACGAGCCAGAGCAGCGGCGAACACGAGCAAGGAACACGCCUCCGAUAGGCCAGGCCUAGGGACCUACGGGCGAGAGGGCGGGAUCAGCACUCGGGACGGCCUGAUUGGUUCCUGAAAGCCGACCCGCCUAUGCCUAUAAGGGUCCUCAAUUCUCCAAUCCCGCCCCACACCCCCUACAGCUGGCAGCAGUGGCUUCUCGGCUCGCCAGCCAGAAAUCCUGUCGCAGCUCAUCAUUGGCCGCUUCCUAGCGGCCUGUAUUGAUUGGCUGCCUGUGCAUCCUCCCUUCCCGCGGAGGCCAAGCCCCGAAGGGGUGCAGCUAAGCGGUGGUGGCAUGGGGUGGGAGGAGUGAGGCCGGGGCAAGGCAGCGGCAGCGGCAGCGAGAGAGCGUGGGACGUACCCUGGCAGGGAGCAGCAGGUGGCGGCGGUGCAUGGGGCCUGGCCCCACCAGCGGGGACUGGCCCAGAGCCACGGCCGGGGGGCCAUCUAGCUGGAGAGAGAAGGGACAGGUGACCCGAUCGGAGCCCAGCCUAGCCCUGCCUCCUUCGGCAGGGGGUGGGGGCGGGUGAGAGUGAGGAAAGUCGAGGUCGGGGGGAGGGAUUUGAUGAGAGGCCCGAACUGAGGGUGAGCCCUAAAUCUGUACGGGAGGGGGGUUAGCAGGCCUGAGGCAGGGGAAAGAGAGGGGUCUUACAUGGGAAGGUGGAUCCGUGGCCCGGGGACUGGGGACCCCCGUGACAGCUGGAAGGAGAAGAGAGAGGCGUAUGGCGCGUGAAGGGGCAGAGAAAGGAGGUGGCGCGGCGUGCCCCAGCCUGGGCCCCUUUCCUCCCCCAACUUGUCCCCCUCGCUGGCCCACCUCCUCCCUGGGCCCUCCCGGAAGGGGGCAGAGGAGGGACUCGCCUGCGGCUCCCUCUGUCUGCAGCAACUCCAGCCGCUCCUGCAGCUGCUGGAUGUGCACCUCCAGGUCUCGGUUCCGGGCUUCGGCCUCCUGUAGCUGACUGAGAUGAGGAAAGAAACGUGACCCACUGGGGUCUGGGCUGCAGAGUGCCAAGGGUGUCGGGGACCCUGUGCCCCGACCUGGCGAAGUUCUGGUUGGCCGUGCGGAUGGCCUCCAGCUCGAGGCGCAGGUUCUGCCGGCUGAGCACCUCCUCCUCCAGGGCUUCCUGGAGCUCCCGCAGGGUCACCUCCGGCUCUGUCUCUGCCACGGGGGCAGCAGUUGGAUCUGCCACUUCAGCCUGUGGGUGGGGACUGGGUUUGGGGCCGCCUGUAGCUCCUGGAGCACAGCUUAUCCACUCCCCACCAUCACCCUGUCUCUAGAAUCCCCAUAGCUUCAGCGAGCCCCCUCCUGUCCACACAGGAAGCAAAGAGCUGUUCUCAAAACUCAGCUUGACUGACCAUGUCCUGUCCCUGAUCCAAUGUUUCCAGUCCCCAGUGCCCCAGGACAAGGUGGCUUUACCAAAAGGCCUUGCUGGGUUUGUUUCCUGCUGGUCUCUGCACCCGCCCCUCAUGUACCCAUGCAGCCAUAUGACUGACCCUCUUGUCACUUUUCAGAACAAAUCAGCCUCAGAUAAACCGGCAGGGUCCCCUUCAGGGCUUCUGCUCUUGAUAUUCUCUCUACUGACCAUGGGACACUUUUCUCUCCAUGGGUGGCCCUGCCUCUUUCACCAGUGCUCGGCUCAAAGCCCCCCACGCACACACAGUUAGUGCCCUGUUCUGAUGUCCUCAUAGGGACCAUCUCUUGACUGAAGUGACCUUAUCUCUGCUGCUUUGUCUGUUUCUGUCCUCUAAAUUCCCAGAAGCACAAGGCACCUGGCAAGUGCCAGCGGGUCCCUCCUGCUGCAACUGACCAGCCUCUCCUCAGCUACUCACCAUGUCCUCUGGGGGGGACACCCUGGGCUCCACGCUGGGCUCUUGCACACGUGGCUCAGGCAAUUGCUGGGCCUCCAGUUCCAUUGGUGUGGGGUCUGGGACCUCACUGUCCCUGCAAAGAGGAAGAGGGGAGGAAGACUCCUUCCUACCCAAGAGGCUGCCAAGCUCUGGGAACCCAUGUCCGAGGGCAUGGAGCAGCUGGCCCAUGGUUCAACCAGGGGUGGGGGGGAGUGAAGGGGGGACCAACUGUCAGGUGAGUUGACAGGCCCUUCUCUGUCUCGCAUGUGGCCUCAGGCCCCUGGGAGCUGCCCUUUCUUAUCUAUGGAAACGGGGCCCAGACACCAUGUUCCAGGGUCUGCACAUUCCCUCCCUUAACCCCAUCACCUUUGCAUACCUCUCUCCUUAGGACCUCAGAACAGGGAAGGGGUCCUAAUGAGUAAGACCCUGCCAAGUUCUGGGCACCUCCAAAGAUGUGGUCAUAAGACUGGAUGUGGGAUUCCUCAGACUGUGACUGAAGCUAUUAGGACACCCCCUCAUGCUCAGCUGCUGGGAGGGGGUGUAGGGCAGAGAUCUCCUAAGAAUGUGAACUUUCAAUAAAAGUGGCAUCCUUUGACCAGCAGUCUCUCCCAUGGGAAUAUGCCUCAAGGACCUAUGUACCCUGGACAAGCUCUGAGACCAACCUGUUGGCUGUUUGUAGCAGCCUGGGUUGUAACAGGUCGUGUUAAAGCUGACCUGACCUGACCUGACCUGCAGUGAGGAGGAGACUAGACAUGCUCAUGACUGAUAAGGGAUGCAGAUUAGGAAGCAACCUGUUCUCACGGUGGUUAAACAUGUUUGCCAGCUUCGAGCCAGGGAUGUCGCUGAAUGAUGGGCUCAAACGCAAGCUUCCUUUUCCUUAAUCUUAUUUCUUAAUUUACUUGUGAUAAGCAGUCUCAUUUAUAUAAUUGAUGCUUUUUAAAGG